rnacentral:rRNA from 1 species
UACGAAGGGGCUGGCGUUGCUCGGAAUCACUGGGCGUAAAGGGUGCGUAGGCGGGUCUUUAAGUCAGGGGUGAAAUCCUGGAGCUCAACUCCAGAACUGCCUUUGAUACUGAGGAUCUUGAGUUCGGGAGAGGUGAGUGGAACUGCGAGUGUAGAGGUGAAAUUCGUAGAUAUUCGCAAGAACACCAGUGGCGAAGGCGGCUCACUGGCCCGAUACUGACGCUGAGGCACGAAAGCGUGGGAGCAAACAGGG